rnacentral:tRNA from 1 species
UCCCUUAUAGCUCAGUCGGUAAAGAGGCUGCCUGAAAUGCAGGAGACCCAGGUUCGAUUCCUGGGUCAGGAA